rfam:Enterococcus sp. 7F3_DIV0205 scaffold00001, whole genome shotgun sequence.
CCACAGCUACAACCGCACAGAACAAGUUUUUGUAAGCACAACAAUCGUUGUCACUUGGGAUGGCGAGUCUAAGUCUAGAA